UGGGGAAUUUUGGACAAUGGGCGAAAGCCUGAUCCAGCAAUGCCGCGUGUGUGAAGAAGGCCUUCGGGUUGUAAAGCACUUUUGUCCGGAAAGAAAUCCUUGGCUCUAAUACAGUCGGGGGAUGACGGUACCGGAAGAAUAAGCACCGGCUAACUACGUGCCAGCAGCCGCGGUAAUACGUAGGGUGCAAGCGUUAAUCGGAAUUACUGGGCGUAAAGCGUGCGCAGGCGGUUUGCUAAGACCGAUGUGAAAUCCCCGGGCUCAACCUGGGAACUGCAUUGGUGACUGGCAGGCUAGAGUAUGGCAGAGGGGGGUAGAAUUCCACGUGUAGCAGUGAAAUGCGUAGAGAUGUGGAGGAAUACCGAUGGCGAAGGCAGCCCCCUGGGCAAUACUGACGCUCAUGCACGAAAGCGUGGGGAGCAAACAGGAUUAGAUACCCUGGUAGUCCACGCCCUAAACGAUGUCAACUAGUUGUUGGGGAUCAUUCCUUAGUAACGUAGCUAACGCGUGAAGUUGACCGCCUGGGGAGUACGGUCGCAAGAUUAAAACUCAAAGGAAUUGACGGGGUCAUAGCUG
rnacentral:rRNA from 1 species